UCGCCAAAGUGGUCUACGGUGCCGAUGGCGUGGCCUGGGCUGCUGCAGCUGAGGCUAAGGCUAAGAGGUUUGAGUCCGAACCUAAAUUUGAUGAA
rnacentral:tRNA from 1 species